UGGGGAAUUUUGGACAAUGGGCGAAAGCCUGAUCCAGCAAUGCCGCGUGUGUGAAGAAGGCCUUCGGGUUGUAAAGCACUUUUGUCCGGAAAGAAAUCCUUGGCUCUAAUACAGUCGGGGGAUGACGGUACCGGAAGAAUAAGCAUCGGCUAACUACGUGCCAGCAGCCGCGGUAAUACGUAGGGUGCAAGCGUUAAUCGGAAUUACUGGGCGUAAAGCGUGCGCAGGCGGUUUGCUAAGACCGAUGUGAAAUCCCCGGGCUCAACCUGGGAACUGCAUUGGUGACUGGCAGGCUAGAGUAUGGCAGAGGGGGGUAGAAUUCCACGUGUAGCAGUGAAAUGCGUAGAGAUGUGGAGGAAUACCGAUGGCGAAGGCAGCCCCCUGGGCCAAUACUGACGCUCAUGCACGAAAGCGUGGGGAGCAAACAGGAUUAGAUACCCUGGUAGUCCACGCCCUAAAACGAUGUCAACUAGUUGUUGGGGAUUCAUUUCCUUAGUAACGUAGCUAACGCGUGAAGUUGACCGCCUGGGGAGUACGGUCGCAAGAUUAAAACUCAAAGGAAUUGACGGGGUCAUA
rnacentral:rRNA from 1 species